rnacentral:lncRNA from 1 species
ACCCGAUCAAAUUACCCUAUCGGGUCUUUGUUGCAGAGGACCCGCGGGUCUUGGACCCGACCCGACCCAAAUCCGAAACCCGAUGGGUACCCGAAUUAAUAAUAUAAAUUAAAUAAAAUGCAUCAAGGGGGAAUCGAAGACGGGUUAUUCAUCUAGAGAACAUGGGGUCAACCACUAGGAGACAACGAAUUGUUGUUGUAUCUCGAAUAAUUUAAUAUAUAUACACAUUUUAAUAUAAUAAAAACACAAAUUUUGAAUAAAAUUUCGAAUAUUUUUGGAUAUAUAAAUAUUAAUCAGAUAUUUUUUUUGAAUUUUUAGGUCUUUUUUAAAUUGAACCCGAACCGAAUCCGACCCAAAACCGAAUCGAAUCUGAACCGAUAAGUUCUAGUUACCCGAAUGGGUCUAACUAUCUAAGACCCGACCCGAC